rnacentral:rRNA from 1 species
CAGUCGCCGCGGGAAUACGAAGGGGGCUAGCGUUGCUCGGAAUUACUGGGCGUAAAGGGAGCGUAGGCGGACAUUUAAGUCAGGGGUGAAAUCCCGGGGCUCAACCUCGGAAUUGCCUUUGAUACUGGGUGUCUUGAGUAUGAGAGAGGUAUGUGGAACUCCGAGUGUAGAGGUGAAAUUCGUAGAUAUUCGGAAGAACACCAGUGGCGAAGGCGACAUACUGGCUCAUUACUGACGCUGAGGCUCGAAAGCGUGGGGAGCAAACAGGAUUAGAUACCCCAGUAGUCCCUGUCUCUUAUAC